AGAGUUUGAUCCUGGCUCAGGACGAACGCUGGCGGCAUGCCUAACACAUGCAAGUCUAGGGGUAGCAAUACCACUGGCGCACGGGUGAGUAACACGUAGGUCAUCUGCCCCCAUCACAGACAUAACCCCGGGAAACCGGGGCUAAUAUCUGAUGAGGCCGAGAGGUCAAAGCUUAGGCGGAUGGGGAUGAGCCUGCGGCUGAUUAGCUAGUUGGUGAGGUAAUGGCUCACCAAGGCGACGAUCAGUAGCUGGUCUGAGAGGACGAACAGCCACACUGGAACUGAGACACGGUCCAGACUCCUACGGGAGGCAGCAGUGAGGAAUAUUGGUCAAUGGGCGCAAGCCUGAACCAGCAAUGCCGCGUGUGGGAUGACGGGGCUCUGCCUUGUAAACCACUGUCGGACGGGACGAAAAGGGAUAUCAAUCCCUGGGACGGUACCGUCAAAGGAAGGGUCGGCUAACUACGUGCCAGCAGCCGCGGUAAUACGUAGGACCCGAGCGUUGUCCGGAUUCACUGGGUAUAAAGGGUGCGUAGGCGGCCUUGUGCGUCAGAGGUGAAAUCUCCGGGCUUAACCCGGAGGGUGCCUUUGAUACGGCGAGGCUUGAGUACGAGAGAGGAUGAUGGAAUUCCUGGUGUAGCGGUGAAAUGCGUAGAUAUCAGGAGGAACACCGGUGGCGAAGGCGGUCAUCUGGCUCGUAACUGACGCUGAGGCACGAAAGCGCGGGGAUCAAACAGGAUUAGAUACCCUGGUAGUCCGCGCCCUAAACGAUGUAUGCUUGGUGUUGGCCCUGCAAAGGGUCAGUGCCGUAGGAAAUCUGAUAAGCAUACCACCUGGGGAGUACGAUCGCAAGGUUGAAACUCAAAGGAAUUGACGGGGGCCCGCACAAGCGGUGGAGCAU
rnacentral:rRNA from 1 species